AUUUAGCGCAAAAUCUAAUUAGUUACAAAUUCAAUUAUUUAUUAUCCAAAAUUGAUCUAAUAUGAUUCAGACAGAACCAACACUACUUCUUGAAAAGGAAAAGUUUUUUAAAAAUAAAAUAAAAUCACACCCUAGCCGAUGAAUCCUGCACAAGAGGAAGCAACUCCCCUGAAGCACCAACACCAACACCACCAGAGCUCUUCUCCUCAACAGAGAAGUCCUCUCUAACCCACAAAACAGCAUGAACCAAAACCACAGGCAAAGAACCCGCUAACGAUACAAGAAGAUGAAUACCAGCAUGGGUAAGGACGAGCUCAACCAUAGACGCAACAACUAUCACAGAAAGCACCACUCUUUUGUCCAAAAUCUUAUGAACAAUGUUAGAACUUGGUACCGCACGUAACAAUAACAGGAACAGAGAUCCCACAUAGGUCAUGAUCACCAGUAAUAUCAGAGAUACUUUUCUCUUUGGAAUUAGGCUAAUAAACAGUAUAAUCCAAACAAAAUGAGUGUAAUAUAGUGCAAAAUGGUUCAGGUUUCUGAUGAUUCUUAGAACAGCUGCUUCUGGGCUUGAAGGGAUUUUGAAGGGACAUACCAGUUUGAAUUCUGCAAACUUGAAGUCGUUCCAGUUUGUUCCGAUUGUUGAAGAUAUCGGCUCACCGGGAUCAACCAUCGAGGCAGAUCUUGUGGUGGCGCUUGGCCUCUGAAUUGCUCCAUUGCUAGCCAUGUUUCUUGAUUAGAGAGAGAGCAUCCAAAAUUUUGAAAGCAUGUGCUCUUGGAUAAAGGUUGCCAAGUAUGAAU
rnacentral:misc_RNA from 1 species